UUAUGGAGAGUUUGAUCCUGGCUCAGGACGAACGCUGGCGGCGUGCCUAAUACAUGCAAGUCGAGCGGAUUGAAGGGAGCUUGCUCCCUGAUAUUAGCGGCGGACGGGUGAGUAACACGUGGGCAACCUGCCCUGCAGAUGGGGAUAACUCCGGGAAACCGGGGCUAAUACCGAAUAAUCGGUUCUUCCGCAUGGAAGAACUCUGAAAGACGGUUUCGGCUGUCACUGCAGGAUGGGCCCGCGGCGCAUUAGCUAGUUGGUGGGGUAAUGGCCUACCAAGGCGACGAUGCGUAGCCGACCUGAGAGGGUGAUCGGCCACACUGGGACUGAGACACGGCCCAGACUCCUACGGGAGGCAGCAGUAGGGAAUCUUCCACAAUGGACGAAAGUCUGAUGGAGCAACGCCGCGUGAGCGAAGAAGG
rnacentral:rRNA from 1 species